GACCUGUGACAUGGCCACAGGGGUGUGCCAGUGCCACGAGGAGUUCACGAGCGAGGACUGUGCCAACAAACAAUGUCCCGGGGACUGCAGUGGCAAUGGGUUCUGUGACACAGGAGAGUGCUACUGCCACAAUGGCUUGUUUGGCCUCGACUGCUCCCAGGAAAUCGACAACCCAACUGAACUGUUGUCUGACCAAGUGACAGAGGACACAAUUACUGUUUCCUGGAACAAAGUCCAGGCUUCAAUAGACAGAUACAGACUGAGCUACACCUCGGCUAAAGGGGACACAGACGAGACAGAGGAGGAGAAAGACAAGAACGUCCCAGUCCCUUGGCAGGACUGGAGCCAGGCACGGAGUACAUCAUUUACAUCUGGGCAGAGAAGGGAGAACAGCAGAGCAAGGGAGUCAGCACUGAGGCUGUGACAGGGAGCUCAAGCAUAUCUGUGAAAGGGCUUCCGGGUCUCUCCAAAUAUCUAUGUUAUCUCUGCACAGCAAUUCUACUUCUCAAAACAGAGGAUAAACAGCAUCAGGCAUAAUAUAUGGGGUUUCCCACGCUACUACUACUCUGCAGGCCUCGGCAUUCCCAGCUGCAAGGUCAGUUGAGUGAAUGUACCAUCUUGCUCACUGUUCUUCUGCUUUUAACCCGUCCCUCCCAACAGAAGGACCCUGCUCUCUUGGUAUUUUGUUUCAUGAGCUCUCUUUGCAUUGCUGGGUAUUGAAGAUGCAUGGUUGUAACCCCACUUAAAUUAUUAAAUAUAAUAAUUUAAAUAUCUGCCUAUAGGCUCCCAUAACAGACACUAAUGCUAUAGGUGAUUCUAGAAGAGGCAGAUGUUGUAAUACAGGAGUGAUGACAGCUGAUGGUCCUUAUAUCACUAGUCCUUCAUCAAAAGCAUGCGGUGCUUCAUAUGCUGCUACCAAGCCCAAAAAUAACAGAAGUUUAACAGCCAAAGUGAAAUCAUUUCAGAAUCAGACUUAAAAAUAAUGGCCUGCCCUUUGAUUCGUGAACUUAGGCUGGUCCUAGGAGGCUGCCAAGCAGGCUUAAAUCUGUCUUGUUUGGUCAACCAUAAGGAUUGUGGUAAACUGGGAACAUUCAGGGUCACUCCGUAUCUAUUGUCCUUGUUAAUGUACUUAUUUGUAGUUUAUGAAUUCAGCUGGUCCAAGAUAGAUGGGUUGAAGCUUGGAUUUAGGGCAAGAUGCCAAAGAGUUCACCAGUGCUUACGGAGGUUGAGGGCAGCUGAUGGGGACAAAUGGAGAUCUCGUGAGGUCAAAAGGCCAAACCUAUCUGGAACUAGAAAUGCAAGGAGUGUUUCAUCAGUUUCAAAUGGAUUUUUUUUGAACUGGCACAAAAACAGAGGCACCUGGAAAUUUCUCAUGAGGUGAAACUGUUGGGAGAGGGAAUGCAUUUAGCACUAGUAGGGAUAUUUUUGAAGUAUCUUCAGAAAAAAUUACACCUCUGCUAAAAUAAUACAACUUCUGAGGAAAAAAGAAUACAUUUUCUCACUCAAGGUGCUGGCUGAUUAUUCUUAAGCAUUAAAACUGGCUGUGGCAGGGAGCUGCUCUGCAGGGACCUCCUGCUCCCAUGGGAACUGCCGGCCGGCCUUUAAGGGCAGCGCUGUGAGACUACAGCCUCUGAGGCUGCCUUUCCCAUCCUGGGCUUCUCGGGAUGGAAUUCAUUCCUUUUAGCUCCCUCUCCUGUCCAGCGGGAGGUACACAGGUAGUCAGCUGCUCUGACAACAUUUCUGGGCUGUUUUACUUAAACCAAUUGUUUAGUGCUCUCCCAAAUGAAGUCCGAGUUCGUCAGGUAAUGGACUAAUGCUUAACUUCUCAGACGAGUGAAAGGUGGUCUCAGGUUGUAAGGAAUAGCCAGCAUUAUAAACACCAUGGUGUGUGAAAUACAGUGUUACUGUCCCUGUUCCUAUACUUGGUGUUUCGAUUUCUUCUUCUCUGCCUUUUUUAUCUGCUUUAAGCAGUAACCUUAUGCACAAGGAGUGCAACAUUUCCUGGGAGGAGCCACCCUGCUCCACUCUUCUCAUUUAAAUAAGAGAGAAAAAAGUUGGCCUUGGCUUUCUCCAUGACCUUUUCACAACUGUAUUAUUUCACUGAUGCAUUAUAAUUGUUGGUGUUUUUAUGCUUCCAGCACUCUUCAAGGCCUGGGAUGCUUUAUUGCCUGGUUUAUACAGAGAAGAACUGAACUGACAGACAAAAACAUGACCAUAGUCCUCCAGGGAGGCUUAUGGAAGAGCAGGGAAUUGAAAUUAAUUAUUCAGUUAUAGUUUAAAAUAAACUCAGGUGUAGUUCAGUGUUGGAGCACCCAUCCUUGGAGGCCAGCAGUGCCCACCAGGGACCUUUGCUCUAAAACUUCCAAAGUCAGACAAGCUCUUGCUGCCCAUGGAGUGCCCAGGCUGGCCCACCAACUGCACCACAAAGCCAAACCUUGCAGGCUUUCUUUACCAGGGAUAAGGGCUGUUGUUUACUUUUUGCAGCCCGGUGCUCAAAAUGCGAUUUCUCCUAGGCAAAAUUCCAGACGAACCAAGAUUCCUCCUGGACAAAAUGUGCCAGCAGAGAAAGCUUAGUUACAAAUUUCUCACAGGAAAUUUUCAGACGUGCCCAUAAAUCUCAUCACUGUUUGGGAGAAGGUUUUCUCAUCUGUAACAGAAUAGUCAUGUCAUUUGCUAUUGAAUGCUGGUGGUAAUCUGGUCAGAAGAGGACCCCGUGAUUAACUAAUUUUCCCUUUUUGUUGUUCGGGGUGACUUCUUACCAGGGAUGUUAUUCUUGAUAUCCCGGGGCAAAUGGAGGUAUUCACCUGGUCAGCGUCAGGAAUCAUCAUAACUGAGGCCUCGGCUUCCUCUUUUCCUUCGGUUGCUGUGUGUGUGCCGGACACCUCUCGCAGGACUAACCCUGUUGCUUUUAUGUCCAACGUGCUGUUUGCCUGCAGUAUCCUGUACAAGACAAGGCUACCUUUCCUUGUGGGAAUGGACUAGCCGGGCUUUGGCAAUCUGGCCCCUAGAAAGACUAAGUGACCUCCUCCAACAGGGGAAGACUGAAGCAAGCGGUGCCAGAAAGAACUGGAGUUUCUGAAGAACAAAAUCUGGAAGUAUGCCCCCGAAAAAUCCCCCCGGAUGGUCAGUGGUCUGACUUCCACGGACCGGUGGCCUUGGCCAGGAGCAGUCCUGCUGGAUUGUAAUUUUAAUUUCCUGCCCAGGCUGUAAUUUUAAUUUCCAUUGGGUGCUGGCAAAGCCCCUCUGGGUGAGCCCCAGUGCCUGGCAUGAGUGGAGUGGGCUUUCAGGGCACUCAUUGCAGGCGUUGUGUUUAAGGGAAGAGCAGGGGAGCCUUUCUCUGGCCCAGAGAAGAUGCAGUGUUCUUCCUAUCUGGAAGACUAAGAACUAAAAAAAUAAAAAAUAAACGAAAUAAAGAAGGGAAUAUAAAAUUCGAAAGAAAAUUAAAGAAAAAAUAAAAGCGAGCAAACUGAAAAGGCAAUAAAAUGAAAAGUGAAAUGAAAAACAACCCUUUUUGGGCACCCCCUUUAAUCCCCGCCCCACCCUCCAAUCCAUAAAUUGGGGGUCACCCCUAACAGGUGAGAAGGGGACCCCAAAAUGUGGGUGGGGGAAUCCCAGGGAGCCAAAAAAGCGACGGAGGGGGAGACGCGAAAUGUGAGGCAGGGGCCCCAGAAAAGCGGGCGAGGCGCGCACAGUAAGAGAGCGAAGCCGGGUGG